GAGACAAUUGCAUUUAUAGCCUUUGUUUUCAAAUAAUACUAUGAGUAGACUUGGUGUCCAAUUUACAGUGUUAUUUUAGCCAUAUAGUUAUAGUUUGCACGUGUUACAGCUUACAGUUAUUAUUUUGUAAUAUUAGUGAAACAUUGCUUUGCUGAAAUGGAUGAUUAAUCAUUGUUAGGUUUAUGUUCUUGAUCUUUAUCUUGAGGAUUAUGUUCUUCGGGGGGGCAUUCAAAAUGUUCUCAACCAGUAUGUAUAUCAGACUGUUGUCUAUUGCUCUAUUUCUUUAUUUUAGUCAUUGGUCCUGUUAUAAUGCAAUUGAUGUGUAUCACUCACUGUUUUUGUCUGUCAAACUCUUUCUCUUUGAGACUGCUCUGUCCCACAGGGACGUGUCUUUCAUUGGUGUGCACUUCACAGGCAUUCUUCACAUUUGUGAGUUUUCUGUACUGUAUACUGUUGUUGUGUGUUCUUGCUGACAUCCGCCUGGAUGGUCAUAUAGCCUAUACUUUUACAGAGUGACUGUAAUGAAUGCAACUAUCUAUCAUUGCAUUAUUUUGAAGACAUCAAUACUAUGAAUAUAACAUAUACUGUCUCCACCUUUCUCUCCCCUUAGGGCAUAUUUGGAGUGAAGGUUUGCCUUCCUUGAUGUGGAGUUCAUCUGCGUUCUUUUUCUUUCAUUCACCAAGAUCUCAGCAUAUGUGCACUUGAGGAG